UAGGGAAUCUUCGGCAAUGGACGAAAGUCUGCCCGAGCAACGCCGCGUGUGUGAAGAAGGUUUUCGGUUCGUAAAACUCUGUUGUUAGAGAAGAACAAGGACGUUAGUAACUGAACGUCCCCUGACGGUAUCUAACCAGAAAGCCACGGCUAUCUACGUGCCAGCAGCCGCGGUAAUACGUAGGUGGCAAGCGUUGUCCGGAUUUAUUGAGCGUAAAGCGAGCGCAGGCGGUUUCUUAAGUCAGAUGUGAAAGCCCCCGGCUCAACCGGGGAGGGUCAUUGGAAACUGGGAGACGUGAGUGCAGAAGAGGAGAGUGGAAUUCCAUGUGUAGCGGUGAAAUGCGUAGAUAGAUGGAGGAAAAACAGUGGCGAAGGCGGCUCUCUGGUCUGUAACUGACGCUGCGGCUCGAAAGAGUGGGGAGCAAACAGG
rnacentral:rRNA from 1 species